AGAGAGAGAGAGAGAGAGAGAGAGAGAGAGAGAGAGAGAGAGAGAGAGAGAGAGAGAGAGAGAGAGAGAGAGAAUCGUAGCAGACGUGUCGAAAAAUAAGUUGAAAGAAAAUGGAAAUAGUACAAAUGUGAUAGAAAAGAGAAAUAAGACAACUCAGUGAAAGAAAAAGAAAAAAAAAGAAAAAGAAGAAAAAUUGA